AGCGAACGCUGGCGGCAGGCCUAACACAUGCAAGUCGAGCGCCCCGCAAGGGGAGCGGCAGACGGGAGAGUAACACGUGGGAACGUACCCUUCAGUACGGAACAACCAAGGGAAACCUUGGCUAAUACCGCAUACGUCCGUAAGGAGAAAGAUUUAUCGCUGAAGGAUCGGCCCGCGUCUGAUUAGCUAGUUGGUGAGGUAACGGCUCACCAAGGCGACGAUCAGUAGCUGGUCUGAGAGGAUGAUCAGCCUCACUGGGACUGAGACACGGCCCAGACUCCUACGGGAGGCAGCAGUGGGGAAUAUUGGACAAUGGGCGCAAGCCUGAUCCAGCCAUGCCGCGUGGGUGAUGAAGGCCCUAGGGUUGUAAAGCCCUUUCGGCGGGGAAGAUAAUGACGGUACCCGCAGAAGAAGCCCCGGCUAACUUCGUGCCAGCCGCCGCCGUAACAC
rnacentral:rRNA from 1 species